GGCACAUUUCCUUUCUGUUGGCAUUCCCUUUUAUAUAUAUAUAUAUAUAUAUAUAUAGGCUGUUUUGGAUUAACUGCUUUAUUCCUUUAUUUCACAGCGCCAAGGCAGAUUUCCAUUUUUUAAUGACUGUGAUUCCAGGCUCUGGUUGAAGGCAUAUUGGUGCAAGAGAAGAGGCCAUAUUGAGGAGGCUCAUAACAGAGUGUGGACUGGUGAUUGGUCAGAAUGAUAGAUAGGCAUACAUCUUACUCAGAGGAAGACACUGGCACAUUUUUUUCUGUUGGCCUUUUUCUUUAGCCAAAUUGGUUGUUGUGGAUUGACUACUUUAUUCCUUUAUUUCACAGUGCUGAGGCAGGUUUCCAUUUUUUUAUGACUGUGAUUCCAGGCGUAUUGGUGCAAGAGGAUAAGGCUAAACAGAGGAGGGCCAUACUACAGACUGUAGGCUGGUGAUUGGUCAGAAGAUAAAUAGAAAUACUUCUCACUGAGGGGAAGAAAAAGGCACAUUCCUUUCCUGUUGGUCUUUUUUUUUUUUGCUAAAUAGGUUGUUGUUUCCUUUAUUUCACAGGGUUAAGGCAGAUUUCCAUUUUCUAAUGACCAUUAUUCCAGGUAUGAGGCUAGCUUGCCGACAUGGGAAGUUAGUAUGUAUAGCCUAAUUUAUUUAUUUCCUUUGCCACAUAUUUCUGAAGACUCGUUACGAAACACAUCAAUAUAAGUCCUUAAAGUUCUGUAUUAUGUUUUAAAGUUGACUUAAGAUCAGAUUCCUCUGAUCAAAUAUUUCAGGAUAGAAUAUAGGGAACCAAAAUGAGAAGCAUUGGGGCAUUCCGAGAAUCGAACUCGGGACCUCUCGCACCCAAAGCGAGAAUCAUACCACUAGACCAAAUGCCCAAUUUUUUAUAUGUAUCAUGCCUGGUUCAUACAUAUGAUACAUUUUCUCUAAGGGCUCCUGUUAAUUUUCAAUGUCCUCACUUGUAGAGGACCCACUCUCUCGUUAUUGAUGUGGUUCAAUUUAUCAUUGCCUUGCUGCAAUUGGAUGCCAGAGGCUUUUAAAAUUGCAUUAACACCAGGUUGAAGCUUUCUUUCAUAAAGAGAUGCCAGAUUAUACUUAUUAAUUUAGAAUAUGGAUCCCCUGGAAGUCAAAACAUCUAUAGGUUGAGAAUUUUCCAAAUUUUAUAGUUUCUUUUAACCAGUGAACUAUCUGACUGCUAAAUAGAUAGUUUGAAAGUUGUUGUGCUCUUAGAAUAUUUUGUUUUAAACUUUUACCAGUGAAAUUACAGAACAAUUAGGCAGCUAUGCGGAAACCUAAUCACAAUAUGUCCUAAUAAACUUUUCAAGCUAAAUGUCAAAGCCUUUAUAGGUUAGUCUGGCUAGUAAAGUUGUUCGGUUAUUGUUAAACACGUAGGACUGAGUCCCACCUUCACUACUGGGCAAGGGAGUUGGGGUUGUGGGCAGGGGGGGAGCAAGCCCACAUGGUGUAGCCUGGCAGUUGGAUCAAGAAAAAGAAUAAAAUAGGGUCUUGUGCAGAUACAGAAGAUGGAAACUCACUCAGAAAGGAGAAAAAUACUUGGCCUUUCUUGUUCUCUGAUUUUUGCUUGACUUUAUAAGCUAUUUUAAGUAAAAUAUUUUAACCUGCUCUGCAAAUGUCUAUUCAUUCUGUUUAUUUGGUGCCCUUUGCUAGGCAGCUUUAAGGCAGAUUUCACUUUUUGGAUGACUAUCAGAUUAAAGGUGCAAGAAUAAACUUGUGAAAGUAGCACAAUUUAUUUAUUUUUUACUCACUGCAAAGGAAUCUUGUCAGCCAAAAAAAUGGAUCUGAAGUUUCUAAGUCUCUAUAUUAUUUUAUUUUUUAGAGUUGACUUAACAGCAGAUUCUUUGAUUAUAUAAGUCAAGUAGUGAUGUAGGGAACUAAAAAGUAACUUGGCUGGGGCAUUCCAAGAAUUAACUCGGAGGUACCUCUUGCACUCUAAGUGAGAAUCAGACCGUAAACCAAAUCCCCAAUCUUGAUAUCUAUCUUGAUUAGCAUAUAUUUGUUAGCAGUUUUCUAAGGAUUCCGUGUAACUUUCAAUGGGCUUAUACCAACUGAGCUGCCCAUAGUUUCAUCUCUCUUGCUUUUGAUGUGUUUCUGGUAUCAUUUCCUUGCUAGAGUGAUUGUAGUCUUUUGCUUUUGAUGUAAUUCUGUUAUAAUUUCCCUGCUAGAGUCAGAUGCCAGUGCCUCUUAAAAUUGCAUUUGGACCUUGGAUUGGUUAUAAGCAUAGUAAUGAAGGUUGUUUAUACUUGAUUCCAUAUUUGGGUCAACUUAAAGACGAGUUGUGUAUGAAUUUUGAGAAUUUAUUCAUAUUUUUCUUUCUUUCGUGGUGAAAUGCCUGACUAAUAGCUAGAUAACUAGUUACUCCCUGUCACAAAGCUUGCAAAACAGUGCAUAGUACUGUAAAGUGGUCUAAAGAUGAGCUUACGGGACAAAUUGCAGAAAGUUUAUCACAAAAUGCUGUGUAAUGUUUUGUUGUGGCCCCUGCAAGCCAAAUGCAAGAGAAACAACAGUGCCUCUUCCCUAGUUUUGCUUGCCUAGAAAAGGAUGCUGUUGAUUAGGUAGUUUAACCUGCUCCUCAGAUGAAUGUUCAUUCCAUGUGUGUGUGAUUCCCCUUUUCGUUUUUUGGGCAGGUUAUGGAAGAUUCAAAUGAUUCCUCAUGGCAGAUUACAGGUCAGUGGUUAGCUUGCUCAACUUGCAAACACCGCAUUUGUUAUAUACAUUUUGCAAUUCAUUGCUGACGCACUUGUCAGAAAACAAAUCAAAGAUGAAGUCAAUAAAUUUCUAUAUUACACUUCUAAAGUUGACUUAUGGCUAGACCUUUUUUUGUUAUCAAUAUUUCAAAUUGUAAGAUGAGCUAAAAAAGAAACAGGGGGUUGGGGGCAUUCCGAGAAUCGAACUCGGGACCUCUCGCACCCAAAGCGAGAAUCAUACCACUAGACCAAAUGCCCUAGCAUGUAACAUUUGAUUUACUUUGAAUACUCCAGUUUUGUUAUUCCAUAAAGAAAUUUUGUGAAUUUUUUUUCUUUGCCAUGUAAAACAAUGCUAGGGUUGGUAGAUUUGAAUAUCCAUGUUUUCAGGCCGUUUUGUUUUCUUGUUGAGACAUUGGUAAUACAAACCAUGCAUGUAAUUACAAAUUUGGAAUGAUC